rnacentral:lncRNA from 1 species
CCGGGCAUCUCUCACGACAACUGGCACAAGCAGCAGAAGGCACAGGGGCAAGAGAAGGAGCUGCCACAAGAAGCGGGAGUCUGAGCUGGGGUGCGCACUGCCAGGACUAAGGCGGGCCCUCGCCGCAUCCACGCGGGGUGUGUGUGGGGAGGCCGUGGGAAAUACUGGGCUCUGAGGCUGGACCCGGGAACUUCUGUGGCUGGGAGUGUUGCACUCGCAAAACGAGGGUCGCUGAUCUUGUCUGCGUGUGACCCACAGCCAGCCGGCCUGCACCGGGGCCCUGGCGAGGAGCUGCCGGCCGCGCACCUUGGCAACAGCAGUGCGAGCUCCACUGUGCACCGUCCGGGCCACAAGAAGGGGGCCCAGCGGACUCCUGAGGAGGAAGAGAUUUUAAACAAAAAACGAUCCAGAACAAAUUCAGAAAAAAAUAUAAUGAAAGGAAAAUGAAUGCCGCAAACAGCAGUCUUCUGGAGGAGCAGUUCCAGCAGGGCGAGCUUCUGUCGUGCAUCGCAUAAGGAUGGGGCCGUGCUGAGCAGAGGGCUACACGUGCUAGAGUGCAAGGAACUGGAGCUCCAUCUGAGCCAGAUCAAGGUCUGGAGAGGCAAACCA